ensembl:lncRNA
AGUAUUUCCGUAACCUUCUUGUUACUACCAAAAUCAGAUUUUCCUGACCGUUCUACUAUGACCGUGUAGCCGAGCUAAAUUUAAUUUGAUUGUUUUAUUUUUUGGUCAUGUUCCUACCUUUAUUUUUUAUUGUGAACUCCCCCAAAGAUUGGUUCCUGCGUAAGUUGGUUCCACAUUGUUGUUUUCUAUGCCAUGCCUUUUUGUUUCCCUGGGGAGUGGUUUGGCGUUGCACCGGUGUGUCUAGCCUCAGUGGGCGCUGAUGCACGGAGCUGAGUGGAGAGAGAUAUUCUGGAUUGUGUGUGUCGCCCGUGUUAUUUUGUCUCCUUUAAAAGGAUAUGUCUAGCUUGAGAAGGCGCUGAUCCAUGGAGCUGAAUGGAGAGAGAUAUGCUGGAUUGUGUGUGACGCCAGUGUUUUUUUGUCCUUUAAAAUAAAUAAACCUCCAUAACUCGA